rnacentral:rRNA from 1 species
UACGGAGGGUGCGAGCGUUAUCCGGAAUUACUGGGUUUAAAGGGUGCGUAGGCGGCUUGGUAAGUCAGGAGUGAAAGUUUGCGGCUCAACCGUAAAAUUGCUUUUGAUACUGCCAGGCUAGAAUCAGGAUGAGGUCAGCGGAAUGUGGCAUGUAGCGGUGAAAUGCAUAGAUAUGCCAUAGAACACCUAUUGCGAAGGCAGCUGGCUAGACCUGUAUUGACGCUGAGGCACGAAAGCGUGGGGAGCAAACAGG